AUGACCAUCAUACGUUACCUUUGUUUGAGCAGAUCCUUAAGAUGGACACGUAUAGCCUUAUAUGUACCAUGGUCACUCUAUGUCUGACCCAUGAAGCACUUACCGUACACGUGAUGCGAUCUCAGGCGUGAGGCAGGUGCGAGAUCCAAUCGCUAGAGUGAGAAUGUUGUUCAUCUCAUGGUAAUCACAUAGCUACUGAGAAAGAGCUAAAGCUAAACUGUGAGCUAAAGGGCCGGCUUAAACAUCGACUACACCCGGGUGCGAUAGUCACUGAAUAUUCAAUUUUUUUAGAAAUUUUUUUUUUACCACUAAAUAUUUGAAUUACUCACCAGAUUUUGAGGAAAACUGUAAAAUCAAAUGAUGGGUUGCAAAAAAAAGAAGAAGAAA